UGAUGAUUCAUUUCAAAUUGUUGUACAAAUUUUGAGAAGAAUUUUAUAUGAAUCAACGAAAAGAGAUCAAACCAAAUAAGUGCAUAAAAACUAUUCAACCAAUGUUAUUAUGAUUUGUGAAAUAAUAAUGAAGUGCCGAAAAGGAAUAGUAUUGUCCAUACUCAGUAAACUCAAGAAUGACAUCAUAACAAGUGCGUUUUAUAUUACUGUUUCAUACCAGUAUCAAUUAUUACGUGUACAUAUAAACAUCAUACUUAUCUCACCUCCUGAAUUUCCCCUCUUGUAAAUCUACUCAAUACUCAAUAAAAAAUAUUUUUGGGUCAA